rnacentral:rRNA from 1 species
AGGUCCUACGGGGCGCAGCAGUAGGGAAUCUUCCACAAUGGACGAAAGUCUGAUGGAGCAACGCCGCGUGAGUGAAGAAGGGUUUCGGCUCGUAAAGCUCUGUUGGUAGGGAAGAAAGAUAGAGGGAGUAACUGGCCUUUAUUUGACGGUAAUUACUUAGAAAGGCACGGCUAACUACGUGCCAGCAGCCGCGGUAAUACGUAGGUGGCAAGCGUUGUCCGGUUUUAUUGGGCGUAAAGCGA